GUGACAGAGAGAAGCGGGGCAGAGGGGUACAGGAGUGCGGCGGUCACGCCCCCUUGGCAGUGUCUUGCAGCUGCACUAAAACUUGGAGCAUUUAUUCCGCUGGGAUAUCGCGAGCAGCCGAGCAGCGCAGUCACCGUCCGCACAUCAGCCCGAAAACAGCCACCAUGGCUGGGAUUGUACACUUUCUCUGCUUUGCCCUGCUCUUUGGAGUGUGCUCGGCGGUUACCGGAUCUAGGAUUUACCCUGCCAAUGAAGUUACCCUCCUGGACUCCAGAUCCGUGCAGGGAGAACUUGGCUGGAUAGCGAGCCCGUUGGAAGGAGGGUGGGAGGAAGUGAGCAUCAUGGAUGAGAAGAACACUCCUAUCCGAACGUAUCAAGUCUGCAACGUAAUGGAGCCAAGUCAGAACAAUUGGUUACGGACUGACUGGAUCCCCCGAAGCGGGGCUCAGAGAGUAUACGUUGAGAUUAAAUUCACAUUGAGGGACUGCAACAGUUUGCCUGGGGUGAUGGGCACGUGCAAGGAGACAUUUAAUCUCUACUACUACGAGUCCAACAACGACAAGGAACGUUACAUCCGCGAGACCCAGUUUGUCAAAAUUGACACCAUCGCAGCCGAUGAGAGCUUCACUCAGGUGGACAUUGGAGAUCGGAUUAUGAAGCUCAAUACGGAGGUCAGAGAUGUGGGCCCACUCAGCAAGAAGGGCUUCUACUUGGCCUUUCAGGAUGUUGGCGCAUGCAUUGCCCUUGUCUCUGUCCGUGUAUUCUACAAGAAGUGUCCUCUGACCGUGAGGAACCUGGCUCAGUUCCCUGACACCAUUACUGGCUCAGAUACCUCUUCACUGGUGGAGGUCCGUGGUUCAUGCGUUAACAACUCUGAGGAAAAAGAUGUGCCCAAGAUGUACUGUGGGGCUGAUGGCGAGUGGCUCGUGCCCAUUGGGAACUGCCUUUGUAAUGCUGGGUUUGAAGAGCGCAAUGGAGGGUGCCAAGCCUGCAAAGCCGGACAUUACAAAGCCCUCUCCAAAGACCCCGCGUGUUCCAAGUGUCCGGCGCACAGCUAUGCGCUCCGAGAAGGAUCAACCUUCUGCACCUGUGACCGGGGCUAUUUUCGGGCAGAGACUGACCCCGCAUUCAUGGCUUGCACCCGGCCCCCUUCGGCUCCCCAGAACCUGAUUUCUAAUGUCAAUGAGACUUCCGUGAAUUUGGAAUGGAGUGCUCCCCAAAGCACAGGCGGAAGGAGCGAUGUCACCUACAACGUUGUGUGCAAGAGGUGCGGUACGGACUUGACUCGCUGCCGGCCCUGCGGAAGUGGAAUCCACUACUCACCGCAACAGAACGACUUACAAACCACCAAAGUCUCCAUCACCGACUUGCAGGCCCACACCAACUACACCUUUGAGAUCUGGGCCGUGAAUGGAGUCUCCAAGCAGAACCCUAGCCAGGACCAGGCAGUCUCAGUUACAGUAACAACCAACCAAGCAGCUCCUUCAACCGUAGCUCAGAUUCAGCCCAAAGAGAUAACCAGGCACAGUGUGUCCUUAUCCUGGCCAGAACCAGAACGGGCCAACGGAGUCAUCCUGGAAUAUGAAGUCAAGUAUUACGAGAAGGAUCAAAACGAUCGCAGCUACCGAAUUGUGAAGACGGCCGCGCGCAACGCAGAUAUCAAAGGCCUUAAUCCUCUUACAGCCUACGUGUUCCACGUCCGCGCUCGGACCGCUGCUGGAUAUGGAGAGUUUAGCGGACCGUUUGAGUUCACCACAAAUACAGUUCCAUCCCCGAUGAUCGGUGAAGGCGCCAACCCCACUGUUCUCUUGGUCUCCGUGGCGGGCAGCAUUGUCCUUUUGGUCAUUCUUAUCGCGGCCUUUGUCAUCAGCAGAAGACGAAGCAAAUACAGCAAAGCAAAGCAGGAAGCAGACGAAGAAAAGCAUUUAAACCAAGGUGUAAAGACCUAUGUGGACCCAUUCACUUAUGAAGAUCCUAACCAAGCCGUUCGAGAAUUUGCCAAAGAAAUCGAUGCUUCUUGUAUCAAAAUUGAAAAAGUCAUUGGAGUCGGUGAAUUUGGAGAGGUGUGCAGUGGACGUUUGAAAGUUCCCGGGAAGAGGGAAAUCUAUGUGGCCAUCAAGACUCUGAAGGCUGGUUACACAGAUAAGCAGAGGAGGGACUUCUUAAGUGAGGCUAGCAUCAUGGGCCAGUUUGACCAUCCCAACAUCAUCCACCUUGAAGGAGUCGUCACCAAAUGUAAGCCCGUCAUGAUCAUCACAGAAUACAUGGAGAAUGGAUCCUUGGAUGCAUUCCUGCGGAAGAAUGAUGGAAGAUUCACGGUGAUUCAGUUGGUGGGAAUGUUGAGAGGCAUUGGAUCUGGAAUGAAGUAUCUUUCCGACAUGAGCUAUGUUCACCGGGACCUGGCUGCCCGGAACAUCCUAGUAAACAGUAACUUGGUCUGCAAGGUUUCUGACUUUGGCAUGUCGCGAGUCUUGGAGGAUGACCCAGAGGCUGCCUACACCACCAGGGGAGGAAAAAUCCCCAUCAGAUGGACAGCGCCGGAAGCGAUUGCGUAUCGUAAAUUCACAUCUUCCAGUGAUGUGUGGAGCUAUGGCAUUGUCAUGUGGGAAGUCAUGUCGUACGGAGAGAGGCCUUAUUGGGACAUGUCCAAUCAAGAUGUCAUCAAAGCCAUAGAAGAGGGAUACCGCUUGCCCCCUCCAAUGGACUGUCCAAUACCCCUGCAUCAGCUGAUGCUUGACUGCUGGCAGAAGGAGCGCAGCGAUCGACCUAAAUUUGCACAAAUUGUGAGCAUGCUGGACAAGUUAAUCCGGAACCCAAACAGUUUAAAAAGGACAGGCGUGGAGACAUCCAGAACUAACACAGCGCUGCUGGACCCCAGCUCGCCUGAAUGGUCCCAGGUGGUGUCUGUGGUGGAUUGGCUGCAGGCCAUCAAAAUGGAGAGAUACAAAGAUAACUUCACAGCGGCCGGAUACACCAGCCUGGAAGCAGUGGUGCAUGUAAAUCAAGACGAUCUAACACGGAUUGGCAUCACUUCCCCCGCACACCAGAACAAGAUCCUCAGCAGUGUCCAGGGAAUGAGGAACCAGAUGCAACAACUACAAGGGAGGAUGGUUCCCGUCUGAGACCGCAGAAGGCCAGGGGUGGACGUUACACUCUCAGAACUCUUGAAAAAUUAGUUUACCUCAUCCAUGCACUUUAAUUGAAGAACUGCACUUUUUUUACAUUACACUCACCUCCAUUGGACACAUUGGACUCUUUAACGAUGAGGCGGUGAGGUGGAACGCAUUGAACACAAAAGAAUUAGUCAUUUGUGCCACACCUUCUGUAGAUCAUGCAUCGGUGACACAAGCUUAUAACGUUAAAAAAGGGAAGAACACUGACGUUUUGGUAUACAGUAAAACCAGAUACAUCUCAUUUACAAGACUUUUCAUGGAUUAUUUUGCCUGUGACACGGACACCUUUUAUGGAGUAAAUUUCACCCUACCUUGUGACCUUGUUGAAGAUGCAGACCAUUUUUGUUGGGAGACAUAGAGCCAUCUUGUCUAUACGCCAGUGGCAGACUGUGAAAAACUGUGGCCAUCUUCUUGCUCUAAGCUCAUCUCAGCAUCGUCUUGGAAAACCUGAUUCAGUGGAGAUCCUUAGUAGGAACGCAGUCCCUUACUACAUGCUCGAGCUAAAGGAAAGGUUAUAAAAGGGAGUCCAACAUGAUGUCCUACAGAGACUGUACCACUGAAUCAAAACAUUGUUUUUCCAAACUCCAAAGAUGUCACAAAACUGGUCGCCGAUUCUUCGUUAAAGAAAGGAGAGAGUCCUAAAAUCCACAUAAUCCUAUGGGUCUUCCUGUGUAUUCUCUCUCAGACACAUAUCUGCCUCUAAUGAGAUCCGCUGUUUAUCAGUC